rnacentral:lncRNA from 1 species
AAAUUCAGUCCUGGUGGAAUACGAGCAUAACCAGUCGCACGCACAGAACAGAAGGGGGGAAAGAAACCCCAAAUCGCUGCUGACCUGCUAUUGUUGUUCGAGUUCGAGGGCAGGGGUCUUGAACUUACUCGAUUUCUUCACGAAUCAUCCUCAGGUUGAAAUUGGGGGUGAAUUUUAGCCCUAAACUUGUUGAAAUUGUCAAUCUUCGACGAAUUCUUCUUGAAUCUUCAUAAGAUUAUGCUAUGGGAUUGACCGGCUGCUGCUGUGCCUGCUCUUGUUCGACUGCAAGCUGCUGCGCUACUUGUUGUGAUCUUGUUUGACUUUUCCAAUCUUCAUCAGGUUAAAGCUUAUGCUGUUGGAGUGGAUGCUUAUCUGCUGGGAAAGCGAGGCUAGAAUAAAGCUCUAGAGUCCAACAAAUAGUUGUCUACAACAACAACCAUACCCAGUAAAUCCCACAAAUAGCAAGGCAACUUAUAGGGUCUGGGGAGGGUGGGAUGUAGACAUACCUUGCCUCUAUCCCUAGGGAUAGAGAGGCUGCCAACAAAUAGUUGUCUGUAGUGGUAAAAUCAAGGGUCUCUAGAAGCAGAUAAACAAUUGCUAUAUUUAAAUCUGAGUUGUCGGAACAUAAUUAAUUGCCUAGAUUUGGUCUGUAAUAAUUUGUUUAUUGUUUGAGAUAUGGUAUGGGACAUGUCACUUUAAAUUGAAUAGUAAUGAUAAUUGUUAUGGAAACUUCUGGACAAUCUGUUUCGCUCAGUGUCGCGCCCCGAUGAUUCCGCCAUCGGUUGGGGUGUGACACAUACUGUA